GAUGAACGCUGGCGGCGUGCCUAAUACAUGCAAGUCGAGCGAACAGAUAAGGAGCUUGCUCCUUUGACGUUAGCGGCGGACGGGUGAGUAACACGUGGGUAACCUACCUAUAAGACUGGAAUAACUCCGGGAAACCGGGGCUAAUGCCGGAUAACAUUUAAACCCCAAGGGUUUUAAGGGGAAGGAGGGUUUGGCUAUACCUAAUGGAUGAACCCGCGCCGUAUUAGCUAGUUGGUAAGGUAACGGCUUACCAAGGCAACGAUACGUAGCCGACCUGAGAGGGUGAUCGGCCACACUGGAACUGAGACACGGUCCAGACUCCUACGGGAGGCAGCAGUAGGGAAUCUUCCGCAAUGGGCGAAAGCCUGACGGAGCAACGCCGCGUGAGUGAUGAAGGUCUUCGGAUCGUAAAACUCUGUUAUUAGGGAAGAACAAAUGUGUAAGUAACUGUGCACGUCUUGACGGUACCUAAUCAGAAAGCCACGGCUAACUACGUG
rnacentral:rRNA from 1 species